CUCAUCAGUCACUCCUAGCACUCACACCAGUCCACUUUCUUUUUUCUUUUCAGAUCAUCGUUGCUGGAUGGAGUUUUGGUAGCUGUUUGCUUGUUAUCUACCUGCCUGCUGUUACCUGCUGUUACCUGCCUGCCUUUUGGACUCUCUGCCUUGGAGUUACCUUGAGAUGCGGCUCUGUCUGGUAAUCCAUGCACAGGCUUGUUAACAGGAGGUGGCACAGGAGGAGGAGACUCCGGCCCCGGAGUGGACAGCGUUUGGCUGCGGUUCUUACGGAAACCGAAGAUGGCCAGCAUGUUUCUCCUCUUCUUCCUCCUCAGCGAGUGGGCUUUGUGCAGAGAGGAGAGCUGACUGAAAGUGAUGAGAGAGGUUGAAUGUCACACAUAAAGUCCAGUCAUGGUUGUUAGGAUGCCAUUGAACUCUUCACAGACAUCCACGCCGGCUUUUUGUUCACUAUGCUUCUGGUACAGUACAUUGGCCGUUUGAGCGUUGCUAGGCUACAUCUCUUGCUACAUAAUGAUUUAUCUAAAGUGCACUUCUUUAUAGUAUAAAAUGCAAUCACAUAAAAAGCACUGACUUAACUUGAUGAUCUGCAGUGUGGCAGGGAGCAACGUUAUUCUGAUAAGCUGUGACAGCUGUUCCUCAAUUCUGCUCCACCAAAAUAAAAGCUUAAACCAAACUGCUGCAUUUAUAUAGAGUGGUUCACAACCUGUUUUCCUUGAAGCCCCCCCACUAAGAAAAGCUGAGCCCCCACUACGUCAACACCCUGACAAAAAUUACACAUCCUUGAACAAAAUCCUCAGUUUGAAUAAGGUGAUUCAGCGUAUUAAAUCUUUUUCUUUUUAUUAAAUCAACUUUCUUUAAUGAAUAGAACUUGUCAGUUUCAUCAACAUAAAUAAAGUGAUGAUGUCUUGACAGAUUUGCAAAAUGAAUGCAGAUACGUAAUAUGAUCUUUGUAACAACUUGAUUAAUUUACUAUAAUAUUGUUUUCGUCGGGGUAGGGCUGUCACAAUAACAGCAAUAUUGCAUUACCGCGCUAUUGACAAGCCAACCGCAGGGGAUGGCAAGCAACCGCCACAACCGCUAUGUUCGCGUUUUUUGUUUUUUGAAUUCUUUGCAAUGGGAGUGCCACAUUUCUACACUUUGCAAUAAACAGCAACAGCGCGACAAGGCGCUGAGCGUCUAUUCUGCGCUAACUACCGUACGUAUGGCGUUUUUCGGGAACGUUGAAAAAUGUUCAACAUUGGGUAAAACUCUGCACUCAUCACUGUCACUUUUUUACCACAUAGACCAGCGGGUCCGUCCUCUCUCAGGCCUUCCCUUGUGUGCGGUGAGCGGGAAAGCAAAUAGAUUUUUGACGGCAGUGAAAAUGUUGUUUUUGAAAGGCUAAACGGCAACAAAUACGGAUUGAAGCAGAAUAUUUCAUUAGAUUUUGCUGCUAAGUAGCAAAAAAUAUAUAUUUUUAAAUAGUUUUAUUUACAGACUUUUGUAAAACUAAUCC